GACGAACGCUGGCGGCGUGCUUAACACAUGCAAGUCGAACGGACAGGCCCUGCUUUUGUGGGUUGCUCGAGUGGCGAACGGGUGAGUAACACGUGAGUAACCUGCCCUUGACUUUGGGAUAACUUCAGGAAACUGGGGCUAAUACCGGAUAGGAGCUCCUGCUGCAUGGCGGUGGUUGGAAAGUUUCGGCGGUUGGGGAUGGACUCGCGGCUUAUCAGCUUGUUGGUGGAGUAGUGGCUUACCAAGGGUUUGACGGGUAGCCGGCCUGAGAGGGUGACCGGCCACAUUGGGACUGAGAGACGGCCCAGACUCCUACGGGCGGCAGCAGUGGGGAAUAUUGCAGAAUGGGCGGAAGCCUGAUGCAGCAACGCCGCGUGCGGGAUGACGGGCUUCGGGUUGUAAACCGCUUUCGCAGGUGACGAAGCGUGAGUGACGGUAAUGGGUAAAGAAGCAACGGCUAACUACGUG
rnacentral:rRNA from 1 species